UGUAUAGAUCUUGUACCAAAAGAAUGGUUAUUAAAACUUAAACGCACAUGGUUUUGCAAAUAUCCGCCAAAAUUAGAGUACGAUAAAGUACAAGAAUGGGGUAAAGAAAAUAAAACUCCAGAAUUAACAUGGAAGAAAUAUCCUGUUAAAUUAAUGAAAAAUGCUAAUAAUUUCGAUCAGGGACUACGUCGUAUGACACGCAUUACAGAAGACACUGUUGUACUUUCAAGUGAAGUAUCUGAUAUAGAUGCUGAAGAAUUGUCAGAUACAGCAUCAGAUAAAUCAAGUAAUAUCAGUGAUUUAGAAUUUCAAUCGUUCUCAAGUCAAAAAAUUGUAAAAGAAAAAAUUACGGAAAUAGAAGAAGAUAAUGACGUUCCAAGCAGUUCAUCAGAAUCAGUUACUUUUAAAAAUAACAAAAGUAAAAAAAGUAACAAGCGUAAAGCGACUCUCUCUCUCUCUG